UCCCUCAUGGUCCUACAAGUAUCUCAAGCC
rnacentral:piRNA from 1 species